rnacentral:rRNA from 2 species
GGGUUGUGAGGUUAAGCGACUAAGCGUACACGGUGGAUGCCCUGGCAGUCAGAGGCGAUGAAGGACGUGCUAAUCUGCGAUAAGCGCCGGUAAGGUGAUAUGAACCGUUAUAACCGGCGAUUUCCGAAUGGGGAAACCCAGUGUGAUUCGUCACACUAUCAUUAACUGAAUCCAUAGGUUAAUGAGGCGAACCGGGGGAACUGAAACAUCUAAGUACCCCGAGGAAAAGAAAUCAACCGAGAUUCCCCCAGUAGCGGCGAGCGAACGGGGAGGAGCCCAGAGCCUGAAUCAGCAUGUGUGUUAGUGGAAGCGUCUGGAAAGGCGCGCGAUACAGGGUGACAGCCCCGUACACAAAAGCGCAUGUGCUGUGAGCUCGAUGAGUAGGGCGGGACACGUGGUAUCCUGUCUGAAUAUGGGGGGACCAUCCUCCAAGGCUAAAUACUCCUGACUGACCGAUAGUGAACCAGUACCGUGAGGGAAAGGCGAAAAGAACCCCGGCGAGGGGAGUGAAAAAGAACCUGAAACCGUGUACGUACAAGCAGUGGGAGCACCCUUCGGGGUGUGACUGCGUACCUUUUGUAUAAUGGGUCAGCGACUUAUAUUCUGUAGCAAGGUUAACCGUAUAGGGGAGCCGGAGGGAAACCGAGUCUUAAUUGGGCGUUAAGUUGCAGGGUAUAGACCCGAAACCCGGUGAUCUAGCCAUGGGCAGGUUGAAGGUUGGGUAACACUAACUGGAGGACCGAACCGACUAAUGUUGAAAAAUUAGCGGAUGACCUGUGGCUGGGGGUGAAAGGCCAAUCAAACCGGGAGAUAGCUGGUUCUCCCCGAAAGCUAUUUAGGUAGCGCCUCGUGAAUUCAUCUCCGGGGGUAGAGCACUGUUUCGGCUAGGGGGCCAUCCCGGCUUACCAACCCGAUGCAAACUGCGAAUACCGGAGAAUGUUAUCACGGGAGACACACGGCGGGUGCUAACGUCCGUCGUGAAGAGGGAAACAACCCAGACCGCCAGCUAAGGUCCCAAAGUCAUGGUUAAGUGGGAAACGAUGUGGGAAGGCCCAGACAGCCAGGAUGUUGGCUUAGAAGCAGCCAUCAUUUAAAGAAAGCGUAAUAGCUCACUGGUCGAGUCGGCCUGCGCGGAAGAUGUAACGGGGCUAAACCAUGCACCGAAGCUGCGGCAGCGAACGUAUCACCCAAGACAACUUUACGGAGUUGACGAUUGACGGAGCGAAGCGACGUCAAAGCGUUCAUUAAAGUCGAGUUGGCUUAGGGAUACGUUCGUUGGGUAGGGGAGCGUUCUGUAAGCCUGUGAAGGUGUGUCGUGAGGCAUGCUGGAGGUAUCAGAAGUGCGAAUGCUGACAUAAGUAACGAUAAAGCGGGUGAAAAGCCCGCUCGCCGGAAGACCAAGGGUUCCUGUCCAACGUUAAUCGGGGCAGGGUGAGUCGACCCCUAAGGCGAGGCCGAAAGGCGUAGUCGAUGGGAAACGGGUUAAUAUUCCCGUACUUGGUGUUACUGCGAAGGGGGGACGGAGAAGGCUAUGUUGGCCGGGCGACGGUUGUCCCGGUUUAAGCGUGUAGGUGUGUGUUCCAGGUAAAUCCGGUUCACUUUAACACUGAGGCGUGACGACGAGGCACUACGGUGCUGAAGCAACAAAUGCCCUGCUUCCAGGAAAAGCCUCUAAGCAUCAGGUAACACGAAAUCGUACCCCAAACCGACACAGGUGGUCAGGUAGAGAAUACCAAGGCGCUUGAGAGAACUCGGGUGAAGGAACUAGGCAAAAUGGUGCCGUAACUUCGGGAGAAGGCACGCUGACACGUAGGUGAAGUGAUUUACUCACGGAGCUGAAGUCAGUCGAAGAUACCAGCUGGCUGCAACUGUUUAUUAAAAACACAGCACUGUGCAAACACGAAAGUGGACGUAUACGGUGUGACGCCUGCCCGGUGCCGGAAGGUUAAUUGAUGGGGUCAGCGUAAGCGAAGCUCCUGAUCGAAGCCCCGGUAAACGGCGGCCGUAACUAUAACGGUCCUAAGGUAGCGAAAUUCCUUGUCGGGUAAGUUCCGACCUGCACGAAUGGCGUAAUGAUGGCCAGGCUGUCUCCACCCGAGACUCAGUGAAAUUGAACUCGCUGUGAAGAUGCAGUGUACCCGCGGCAAGACGGAAAGACCCCGUGAACCUUUACUAUAGCUUGACACUGAACAUUGAGCCUUGAUGUGUAGGAUAGGUGGGAGGCUUUGAAGUGUGGACGCCAGUCUGCAUGGAGCCGACCUUGAAAUACCACCCUUUAAUGUUUGAUGUUCUAACGUGGACCCGUAAUCCGGGUUGCGGACAGUGUCUGGUGGGUAGUUUGACUGGGGCGGUCUCCUCCUAAAGAGUAACGGAGGAGCACGAAGGUUGGCUAAUCCUGGUCGGACAUCAGGAGGUUAGUGCAAUGGCAUAAGCCAGCUUGACUGCGAGCGUGACGGCGCGAGCAGGUGCGAAAGCAGGUCAUAGUGAUCCGGUGGUUCUGAAUGGAAGGGCCAUCGCUCAACGGAUAAAAGGUACUCCGGGGAUAACAGGCUGAUACCGCCCAAGAGUUCAUAUCGACGGCGGUGUUUGGCACCUCGAUGUCGGCUCAUCACAUCCUGGGGCUGAAGUAGGUCCCAAGGGUAUGGCUGUUCGCCAUUUAAAGUGGUACGCGAGCUGGGUUUAGAACGUCGUGAGACAGUUCGGUCCCUAUCUGCCGUGGGCGCUGGAGAACUGAGGGGGGCUGCUCCUAGUACGAGAGGACCGGAGUGGACGCAUCACUGGUGUUCGGGUUGUCAUGCCAAUGGCACUGCCCGGUAGCUAAAUGCGGAAGAGAUAAGUGCUGAAAGCAUCUAAGCACGAAACUUGCCCCGAGAUGAGUUCUCCCUGAGACUUAGAGUCUCCUGAAGGAACGUUGAAGACGACGACGUUGAUAGGCCGGGUGUGUAAGCGCAGCGAUGCGUUGAGCUAACCGGUACUAAUGAACCGUGAGGCUUAACCUUACAACGCCGAAG